rnacentral:tRNA from 1 species
GCUCCUGUAGCUCAAUGGUUAGAGCCGGCCGCUCAUAACGGUCUGGUUGGGGGUUCAAGUCCGUCCAGGCCCACCA